rnacentral:rRNA from 1 species
UACGUGGGUCCCGAGCGUUGUCCGGAUUUAUUGGGCGUAAAGCGAGCGCAGGUGGUUUAUUAAGUCUGGUGUAAAAGGCAGUGGCUCAACCAUUGUAUGCAUUGGAAACUGGUAGACUUGAGUGCAGGAGAGGAGAGUGGAAUUCCAUGUGUAGCGGUGAAAUGCGUAGAUAUAUGGAGGAACACCGGUGGCGAAAGCGGCUCUCUGGCCUGUAACUGACACUGAGGCUCGAAAGCGUGGGGAGCAAACAGG